UAGCUCAGCGGCAGAGCAGGUGCCUAGCAUGCACGAGGUCCUGGGUUCAAUCCCCAG
rnacentral:tRNA from 1 species